UACAGAGGGGGCAAGCGUUGUUCGGAAUUACUGGGCGUAAAGGGCGCGUAGGCGGCCUGUUAAGUCGAACGUGAAAUCCCUGGGCUUAACCCAGGAACUGCGUCCGAUACUGGCAGGCUUGAAUCCGGGAGAGGGAUGCGGAAUUCCAGGUGUAGCGGUGAAAUGCGUAGAUAUCUGGAGGAACACCGGUGGCGAAGGCGGCAUCCUGGACCGGCAUUGACGCUGAGGCGCGAAAGCCAGGGGAGCAAACGGG
rnacentral:rRNA from 1 species